rnacentral:rRNA from 1 species
UAGGGAAUUUUCGUCAAUGGGGGGAACCCUGAACGAGCAAUGCCGCGUGUGUGAAGAAAGGUCUUCGGAUCGUAAAGCACUGUUGUAAGUGAAGAAUGCCAUAUAGAGGAAAUGCUAUGUGGGUGACGGUAGCUUACCAGAAAGCCACGGCUAACUACGUGCCAGCAGCCGCGGUAAUACGUAGGUGGCAAGCGUUAUCCGGAAUCAUUGGGCGUAAAGGGUGCGUAGGUGGCACGAUAAGUCUGAAGUAAAAGGCAACAGCUCAACUGUUGUAUGCUUUGGAAAGCUGUCGAGCUAGAGUGCAGAAGAGGGCGAUGGAAUUCCAUGUGUAGCGGUAAAAUGCGUAGAUAUAUGGAGGAACACCAGUGGCGAAGGCGGCUUACUGGACAGUAACUGACGUUGAGGCUCGAAAGCGUGGGGGAGCAAACAGGAUUAGAUACC